UACGUAGGGUGCGGAGCGUUGUCCGGAAUUACUGGGCGUAAAGAGCUCGUAGGCGGUUUGUCGCGUCGUCCGUGAAAACUUGGGGCUCAACCCCAAGGCUUGCGGGCGAUACGGGCAGACUUGAGUACUGCAGGGGAGACUGGAAUUCCUGGUGUAGCGGUGAAAUGCGCAGAUAUCAGGAGGAACACCGGUGGCGAAGGCGGGUCUCUGGGCCGAUACUGACGCUGAGGAGCGAAAGCGUGGGGAGCGAACAGG
rnacentral:rRNA from 1 species